rnacentral:RNase_P_RNA from 1 species
AAAACAGGCUGUCUUAUUACUUAAUUUUUUUAAAUUAAGAGGAAAGUCCGGACACCAAAGAGCAACAUAGCGGGUAACGCCCGUCAUUUCAAAGUUAUUGAAAUAGGACUAGUGCAACAGAAAGAAUNUACAGUUNUGCUGUAGUGAAAUCAGGUAAACUCUAUGUGGUGAAACGCCAAGUAAAUCUACANUAAAGAAUAGCUCGUUCAAGUAGAAGGGUAGGCGGAUUGAAUGUGUUAGUAAUAANACAUCUAGAUAAAUGAUAAGACUUAGACAGAAUCCGGCUUAUAGGCCUGNUUUUUUU